UGAGUACGAGACGCUACGGCGUUGAAGCAGUGUAUGUCAGACUUCCAAGAAAAGCUCGCAAUGUCAUAAACAAAUAAUGCCUGUACCAUAACCGACACAGGUGGGUAGGUAGAGUAUACUAAGGGGCGCGAGAUAACUCUCUCUAAGGAACUCGGCAAAAUGACUCCGUAACUUCGGGAGAAGGAGUGCCUUAUUUUUAUAAGGUUGCAAUAACAAGAUCCAAGCAACUGUUUACCAAAAACACAGGUCUCCGCUAAGUCGUAAGACGAUGUAUGGGGGCUGGCGCCUGCCCAGUGCCAGAAGGUUAAAGAAGUUGGUUAGCAAUAGCGAAGCUGAUAACUGAAGCCCUGGUGAACGGCGGCCGUAACAAUAACGGUCCUAAGGUAGCGAAAUUCCUUGUCGGGUAAGUUCCGACCCGCACGAAAGGCGUAAUGAUUUGGAUGCUGUCUCGGAGAGGGGCUCGGUGAAAUAGACUUGUCUGUGAAGAUGCGGACUACCUGCACCAGGACAGAAAGACCCUAUGAAGCUUUACUGUAACUUGAAAUUGAAAUUGGACUUUACUUGCGCAGUAUAGGUGGGAGGCGUUGAUUUUAUUCUUGCGGGAAUUUAGGAGCCAUCAGUGAGAUACCACUCUGGUAAUGUUAGAUUUCUAACUUUGUAUCAUAAUCUGGUCAAAGAACAGUUUCAGGCGGGCAGUUUGACUGGGGCGGUCGCCUCCCAAACGGUAACGGAGGCGUACAAAGGUUUCCUCUGAACGUGUAGAAAUCGUAUCUAGAGUGUAAAGGCAUAAGGAAGCUUGACUGUGAGACCUACAAGUCGAGCAGGGACGAAAGUCGGUCUUAGUGAUCUGACGGUGCUGAGUGGAAAGGCCGUCACUCAACGGAUAAAAGUUACUCUAGGAUAACAGGCUGAUCUCCCCCAAGAGUUCACAUCGACGGGGAGGUUGGCACCUCGAUGUCGGCUCAUCGCAUCCUGGGGCGGUAGUACGUCCCAAGGGUUGGGCUGUUCGCCUAUGAAAGCGGUACGCGAGCUGGGUUCAGAACGUCGUGAGACAGUUCGGUCCAUAUCCGGUGUAGGCGUUAGAAUAGUGAGAGGAUCCUUCUUUAGUACGAGAGGACCGAGAAGGACAUACCUCUGGUGUACCAGUUAUCGUGCCAACGGUAAACGCUGGGUAGCUAUGUAUGGAAAGGAUAACCGCUGAAAGCAUCUAAGUGGGAAGCCUACCUCAAGAUAAGUAUUC
rnacentral:rRNA from 1 species